rnacentral:rRNA from 1 species
UGGGGAAUAUUGCACAAUGGGCGCAAGCCUGAUGCAGCCAUGCCGCGUGUGUGAAGAAGGCCUUCGGGUUGUAAAGCACUUUCAGCAAGGAAGAAGCGAAAGUGACGGUACUUGCAGAAAAAGCGCCGGCUAACUACGUGCCAGCAGCCGCGGUAAUACGUAGGGCGCAAGCGUUAUCCGGAAUUAUUGGGCGUAAAGAGCUCGUAGGCGGUUUGUCGCGUCUGCUGUGAAAACCCGAGGCUCAACCUCGGGCCUGCAGUGGGUACGGGCAGACUAGAGUGCGGUAGGGGAGAUUGGAACUCCUGGUGUAGCGGUGGAAUGCGCAGAUAUCAGGAAGAACACCGAUGGCGAAGGCAGAUCUCUGGGCCGUAACUGACGCUGAGGAGCGAAAGGGUGGGGAGCAAACAGGCUUAGAUACCCUGGUAGUCCACCCCGUAAACGUUGGGAACUAGUUGUGGGGUCCAUUCCACGGAUUCCGUGACGCAGCUAACGCAUUAAGUUCCCCGCCUGGGGAGUACGGCCGCAAGGC